rnacentral:tRNA from 1 species
GGAGAGGUGCCCGGAGCGGCUCAUCGGGGACCAGAAACAGGUCGGGCCUAAAAACCCACGCAGGUUCGAAUCCUGCCCUCUCCG